UGGGGAAUUUUGGACAAUGGGCGAAAGCCUGAUCCAGCAAUGCCGCGUGUGUGAAGAAGGCCUUCGGGUUGUAAAGCACUUUUGUCCGGAAAGAAAUCCUUGGCUCUAAUACAGUCGGGGGANUGACGGUACCGGAAGAAUAAGCACCGGCUAACUACGUGCCAGCAGCCGCGGUAAUACGUAGGGUGCAAGCGUUAAUCGGAAUUACUGGGCGUAAAGCGUGCGCAGGCGGUUUGCUAAGACCGAUGUGAAAUCCCCGGGCUCAACCUGGGAACUGCAUUGGUGACUGGCAGUCCAGAGUAUGGCAGAGGGGGGUAGAAUUCCACGUGUAGCAGUGAAAUGCGUAGAGAUGUGGAGGAAUACCGAUGGCGAAGGCAGCCCCCUGGGCCAAUACUGACGCUCAUGCACGAAAGCGUGGGGAGCAAACAGGAUUAGAUACCCCUGGUAGUCCACGCCCUAAACGAUGUCAACUAGUUGUUGGGGAUUCAUUUCCUUAGUAACGUAGCUAACGCGUGAAGUUGACCGCCUGGGGAGUACGGUCGCAAGAUUAAAACUCAAAGGAAUUGACGGGGUCAUAGCUG
rnacentral:rRNA from 1 species